UUAUCCUUUCUACCGAUCGCAUAAGACGAGUCAUAGUGAAAUCCUAGUAAGAAAGUUAUCACACAAGUUAUCACACAAAUAGUAGGCAAUAAAUAGUAAAAAACAGAGAGGCUGAAUUAGUUCGAGCAAACUGAUAUUAAUCAACAAACUGCAGCUUAGCUAAAUGGUAAAUAUUCAUUUAUGAAUUUUAGUAAUUUAACUUAUUUCUCAACUACUGUUAGACUAGUGCAACUAGUGGACAAAAGAUUAUUAUUGUUAUUAUUAUGUGACCCUCUUCUUAAAGUUGUGCAAAAAACAUUAGCAUAUAUAGAUGCUACAGAAUCUGUUAAACAGCACCCCAAAACCUUAAAAGAAAUUAAAAUGGCACAAGACAUAAGAAUCUAUAUCUUUUAAUACUAAUAAUAAUAUGCUUGGUAAAAGUUGGCAGUUGGGAUUAAUACCACGGUGAACUUCCAUUUGGAAUUCUAAUCUAUAAAAAUAAGGCCUAAUUAAUUGGGGCCCCAAGAAUGAGUAUAAUAUUUGGAGUGAACAGUGAGUGUGUGUAUCUAGAUUUAUAUAUAUAUGAGCACAACACAUGUAGAUGGCAGCUCACCCAACUUUGGGGGAGGAGCAGCUGCACCACCACCUCUUAUUUUACUAUUAUUACCAUUUCAUUUCAUUGCUUACUUAAUUUUUAAUGGCUUCUUCCUUCAACAUUCUCUUCAUCAUUCUUCUCAUCCACCUCUCCCAAGGCAAAGGUAUAUUUAUCAUUUUGUUUUCUUGUAUUUAUUACUUGUACAAUAUAAAUAAGAAAUUUGGCAUAUCUCUACUUUCUGCCACAAGAAAUUUGCAUUGAUUGUUGAUAAUAGCAAUGCAGUAGAACAGAUCCUAUCAACAUAUUUUUAGCUAUACAUACACAUUUCAAAUUCACAACAAAAAACAAACAUCUAGACAGUGCAGAGGCAAAAAAAAAUGUAAUGAUUUUUCACAUAAAUGUGUGCUACACCACCAAAAGCUCCCCUAACACAGCAGGGAGAAAAGAAAGCAAGUCCCCUAACACUGCAGGGACAGGAAGAGAAGGUUAGGAAACUCACCUAACAGCACACUUCAAGCAGAAAUUUCACCUAAAUGCUCCAAAUAUUUCUACACCAAAAAAUCAGUAAUUAAUCCUAGAGAUUUUUGGUGAAAUUGAAAGCCCAGUAUAACCAACAGUUUCAAUCGACGAAAAAAUUGGAAGAAAAGUGGAUGAGAUCGACAUAAAUUAUGGUUAUGGAGUAAAACUGACCUGAGCUCGACGGAAUUGGAGAUCUUCAAUGGAGAUGUUGAUGAAGCUUGACGGAAAUGGAGAUCUUCAAUGGAGAUCUUGAUGAAGCUCGACGGAAACCAGAGAGAAAAGUUGCGAAAUGGAGAGAAAGCGUGAAAGGAGAAAAAAUGUUUUGAAGAGAACGGGGAAUGGAGCGGAAUGGAUUUCGUUUCCAGUCUAAUUUGAGGGGAAUCAAUUGGAUGGAUUGGGUUAACCCUAGGUAAGGGUAAUGGUUAACCCAAUGUCUAAACCAAACAGCAGCUAACGGAUUACCUUAAAUGAAUCCCUUUCCUAGC
rnacentral:lncRNA from 1 species